rnacentral:tRNA from 1 species
UGGGGGGUCGUCUAGUUGGCAAGACGCGGGGUUUUGGUCCCCGAAAGGACGGGUUCGAAUCCCUCCCCCCCAG